GCGGCCUUGCGUCUCUCAUCAGCAUGUAGUCACCUAUGCUACAUCCGAAGCUUUUGAAAAAAAGCUAUCCACCAAAGAGAUAAUAAAUGCAAAGACCCACGUGUUGAUCAUCCCUUUCCAUUUGAGAGCAAGACAGAGCAAAAGAGAGGGAUGCCAUUGCCAUUGCAGUAACCAAGACCCAUUUCUCGAAAAAGAGAUAAUAAAUGCGAAAUAUAUAUAUAUAUAUAUUGUGCAGGGUAGAAAAGAAAGUCCAAUAUGAAAAUGAGAGGUCAUGAUGCGUAGUGAGAGAAAAAAAAAAUAUAUAUAUACACACACACAUAUAUAUUAUCUUAUUAUUAUCAAAUUGUUAAUGGAGCAGGUUGUGUUGCUUUAUGCUUUCUUUCUUUCAUUUUCAGCUUUGGUUUUCUCUCGACUCUCUGCAUCAUGGUGUUUUUCUUGCAAAUUGUUAACGGAGCAGGUUGUGUUGUUUGGAAUUAUAGGUACAACUUUGUUUUGUUGCAAAUUGGUUUCAUGUUGAAAUUUUGCUUUCUUUCUUAUUUUGGGUGUUCAUUUUGUAGUCUGGGGUUUUAUAUCCUCCUGUGUCUUCCAUGCGUCGAUCUUCCUUUUCGAUUCGAUCUCUCCAAUUUUCUUUCGCCUUUCCAUUUGCUUCUCUCAACCCUCAUUUUCUCAGUUUGCUUCGCGUCCAUCCUUUUCUCGAAUUUUCUUGGGGUUUUCAUUUCUUUCUCACGGAUACUUGAUUUUCUCAGUUUGUUUCCACUGAUCUUUUGUUUCUUCCGCGCAUUCCACAUCUUUUUCAUCAUUUUUGGUGUGGAUUUGAAGAGGAUUUGUGAAGUGGCUUUGAUUUUAUGUUACCCAUGUUCUGUUUUUCGGUUUGAUUUGAAGGAAUUUUUUGCGCAGAAGAGCUAGGGUUUCUUGUGAAUACCAAACUGCAGUGUGAUGUUCAAACUUUGUGGCCUUUUGAAGUAGGUGGGAGCAUAAUUCAUCCAUGAGGUAAAAGCUCAAAUCUCUUUAUUUUUUGUUGGAGAAGUUGGUGGAACAAAUUGUGCUUUACUCUACAUAUGACCAAUGUCUAUGAUUUUACCUAUUUUGAUAAUGCUUGAAUUAUGCUUCUUGGUUUUUAAUUGGGUUUUUGGGUAGUGAGUUGGAUAGAUAGUUCAUAGCAUAGGUUUGGUUGCAUGUUUAUUGGAAAAAGAAAAACACGGAGAGGCACAACACACAGAGGAUAAACUUUUUGUCUUCAGGAAGAUGAGGAGACAAAAAGAAGUACAAAGGGAUGCAUUUAGCUUCCACUUUUGAGGUUCCAGGCACCCAAAAACUGCCGACUGGUACCCAGGAAUUAACAAUGUAGCUGGAGUUCUCCACUGGCUUAAGCACACUGGAGAACUCAAGUACAGAUAUCUCUAACUGUUUCUCAAUCCUGGAACCUCUAGCCUCCGCAAGAAGGUUCGUCUCUCUAUCUCUCACUUUGUUUUUUAAAAUUCGUAAUCGAAUUUCUUUUGCAUAAAUGCUAGAUCUAUUGCAGUGAGGCCACAAAUCCUACCCUUUGUUUGUUACUUUGUUCCAAUUAUUGCAAUCAAUUUUUCAUCGUUUAUGUGGUCAAUUCUUGCAUUGUUUUAUUUGGUGAAUUCUUGAUUAACGACUGGUUUUUCUUGCUUGGUCUAAUUGGGCAACUUAAGAAUUUCAUGUGAGAAUUUUUUUGUCCUGAUGAAUCCUUCUUUUUUUUUUUUUUUUUUUACCAUUAUUCAAUUUUUUUUUUUAAUUAUGUAGUCAAAUGAGUUCGGUAUUCCUUUGGAGUCUCUGCAAUUUAAAGUAAUCUAUAUUAUUGUUUUGAUUGUGCGUUCUAUUUUAAUAAGAAUCUUUUCAAUUUAGUGUAAUCUCAAUCUCAAUGGGUUUUUAUGAUACGCCUUAUUAGUGAAUUUAUCUACAUUUUUCAAUGUUGCUCUCGACGAUUGUGAUCACUGCAUUGUGUGGAUUUUGUUUGAAUUCCCAAAUGGCUUUUUCAGUUAUGGUUCAAUUAUUAUUUUCCUUUUCAAUUGUUAUUCUUCAUUGUUGAUGUGGUUGCUGUUUCUGAUUUCCAUUCAAUCUGAUCCAUACUCUCAGUUUUCUUUUUAGAAUUCCUCUCUUUGCCUUUUGCCAAUGUUAGUAUUUUUCUCCAUAAUAGAAAUUCGAUGUUAAUAUAUAUAUAUAUAUAUAUAUAUAUAUUUGAUUUUAGAUCCUACAAGUUCAAGGCAUUGAUGAUGGAAUUAUAUUCAACGUUGCUCAUUGUUCCUUAUUGUAGAUAAGGCUGUAUAGGAGCAAGAUGUAGCACCCGCAACAUCGCGCGGGAAGUCUUGCUAGUUAUAUACUAAAAGGCCCCAAUAGUAAAAGAAUAAUUCUAGAUACACUAAAUUUGUGUACUAAAUAAUGUCACCAAUUAAAUUGUACUUU